GAAUUUCCGUGUCCGCUCCGCGAGAUAGAGAUACCCUUUUAAUUUUAUUUUGGGCGCAGAAUUUCUUCGAACAGUUUUCAUAGCUGCAAAGCUCCGAUCUUUGCCCUAACGGUCUGAUUUUGGGGUUGCCUCCCAUCAGCAUCAGAACCACAAAUUCGGCACCAUGACUGAGUAUUGGGUUAGCCAGGGCAACAAAUGGUGUGACUUCUGCAAAAUCUACAUAUCAAACAACCCUUCUAGCAUUAGAAAUCAUGAGCUUGGUCAACGUCACAAGGAUAAUGUUGCUAAGAAGCUUGCUGAUAUGCGAAAAGAGAAAGUUGCAAAAGAGAAGGAAGAAAAAGAAGCAGAACGUGCCCUUCUGCAAAUUGAAGCAAAAGCUAAGCGCAGCUAUCAAAAGGAUGUGGCAAGCUUUCAGGAGGCUAGAGAUGCCCGGGCAUUCGAUGUUGAAGAUGAUGGUCAAGAGAAAUGGCAGUAUAACAGUACGUCUGGUUAUUACUACAAUCAAAGUAAUGGCUUUUACUAUGAUGCGAAUUCAGGCUUCUACUAUUCUGACGCUAUAGGAAAGUGGGUGGCACAGGAAGAGGCAUAUGCGAACCCGCAGUUUUUAUCAAAUGCUGGAUAUAAAGAAACCAUUUUGAAAAAUCCAGGGUCAACUUCAGGGGCAGGACCAGCUACAGAAAACAAAAGGGCUGAUAAAUCUCAAAAUGGGCCUCCACCUGGGCCAGUGGUCUCAGCUUCUUUAAACCCUAUGAGAUCUGUUAAAGGUGCUCGUUCGUCGGUUUCUGUUGGAAAGAGAAAGAGGCAAGAGGAGAAGCCAAGGGCUAUAUCCGCACAAGAAGCAGCUGCACUUAAAGCGAGGGAGGCUGCAAGGAAGAGAGUUGAAGAGAGAGAGAAACCAUUACUUGGUCUUUACCGGCCGCAGUGAUUUGGCUGCUCAAGCAAGUUCAUAUCCUUAAGGACCUUAACAUAAAGGAAGUCACGAAGACUUUUGAAUGCAACGACUCAUUUUAUGCAAUGGCUGGUCCUAAGUUGUUGGUUAUGUGAUCUCGCGUUACAUUUCGAUUGCCAAAAAUUGCUUGCUGGCGUUGCAAAUUUGGUGCCUCUUGGAACCACAUUAAUAUGUUGUUUAUUGAAAAUGCUCUAUUGUUAGGCGUGCAAACCAUCAAUUUGAGUUAUUGAUAAUGUGUGUUCUUGUUUGAACUUGGGGUCCAAAUUGAUAGUUUGGUAAUACAGUUUGAUCAGAGAACAUCGCGUAACGUUCACAUUCUUGGGAUGUAAGAUGUCUUAACGUUAUUCAGCCCAGCUAAUUCGAAUAUUUUGGCUUCGCUUCGGGCAUUUUUAAAGGAGUUUUUGUUACAUUUCCAAGUGAUGCCCAUUAUUUCUUGGAAAGAGAUGAUGUUCUAGAAAUCUGUUUCUCAACACCUUUACAUGUCCAGAGCAGGAAGUGAAUAUUGUCUUAGAACCUAAUGGCCAGAAAAUUACCAAUUUAUGUUUCUCUUGUAAUUUGACUGAGGCGUGAACUUUUUACGUUCAACAAAAUUUCAACUCA